rnacentral:lncRNA from 1 species
UUAGGGUUCACAGUCACUGCAAUUUUCUCGGCGUUUAUUAAAAAAACCUUUGUUUUACCAUUAUCAAUAUGCAUUGAGACCUAGAGAAAUUGCUCGUUCGAACCUCCAUUCACUUCAAUCGAAAUUCUCUGAAGCCGUUUCAUUAUUUUGUUUAUUCUUAUGUUGCCGAUAUUUAUAUUCAUUGAAUCCUUUUGUGUUUUGUCUUCCAACUAUCAAUGUUACCAUUUGAAACUGUUUUUCUAUUAAAUUAUCUUACUUUGUCAUCUAUAAAGCAGAUCGGCGUUUUUGUGCCAUGUUUGUGUCGGAAGAUGACUAAAUUAUUUUAUGUCCUCUAAUGUUAUUAUAACUUAUGAAAGUCAAUUGUAUUCAUGAGUUUACAUUAAAGGGUACAUUUUCUAUUUUACAUAUCUCUUCUUUGUGUUUCGUAUGUUUCAAUUUUUAUCUACUUAAUGGUUGUGAAAAUAAAAGUCAGAUUUAUUGUUUUAAAUUUAUUUUAUGUGCCUAUUUUCAAUAUUUAGAGAGUCAAUUUGUCUCUUAUUUUCAAUAAUAACUUUGAUUGAUCAAAUGUAUUUUCAGUUACUAGUAAAGGGAAAUUUUUGUUUGGUCAUUUGGUCAUCUAUAAAGCAGGUUGGAACUGAUGUACCAAGUUUGUGUCGGAAGAUGACAAAAUUGUUUUAUGUUCUCCAUUUUUUCAAAGCUUAUGAAUAUAUAUUCUAUUCAUACAGUGACGUUGGGGGAUAUAUUUGAUUAUGUACUAUCACCUUUUUAAAACUUGGAUUUGUGAACUCAGUUGUUGCUUUUGGGUCAAGUGAAGUAAUUCACUAUGUAGACCCAAAGAUUAUAGAUGCUUCCCAAACUUUAUUUUGCAAUUUAACAAACUAUUGGAAAUUAUUCUUCCAAAUGGGUACUGAAUCAGAAAUAUUAAAAGUUGAUUGAAUCAUAUAUUAUUAUACUUUAUUAACAAUCUGAUUAACUACAUUACAUUGUUCUG